UUUUGGAGAGUGGAAGGUCGGUUGGUGCACCACAGAUGAUGAGCAAGGGCAGAAGAGCUCAUAGGUAUCUGUUCGGGAUUCGAAGACUUGCAUUACAAUUAAUGCCCACCCACGGCUGGCAGUCAUUGAAAAGGCACUUGCCCCCAAUAGAUGUUGUAAGGGAGUGACUCUCUCUGAGAAGGAAGCAGUUUAGAUAAUAAUCCAUGUGGCUUACUCUCAGCAUCACUCUCAGCUCUAAUAAUCCAAAACCACUGCCCUGCCCUCUAUCCAGCACCUCUCUUGCAUCAUAUUACAGAUUUUGUGCGCUAGAGGAAGUGCGCCAGUGGCACGAAACAGCUUGUUACCUACUACAUGUCGUCAAGACCUGAAUAAAGCUCUGGUUCGGUAUGCAGGCUCUCAUUAGGUUGCAGCGGCUUCAUCUGAAGUAGCCCCAGUUACGUGUGGGGCUGAUGUCACGGCACAUAUGUUUCAAGCCCUUUGAAAUCUGCAUGAACGUCAGAAAAUCGGAGUGCGUGUCUGACCAGGAAGGAAGUGGUUAACAUUUACUCCAUGUACAUCAUCAUUAUUUUUUGGUUAUGAUAAUAUGAGAUAUGGUUCUUUCCAAAUGUAUGUAUUAAUGUAUCAGUGCACUCUGGCCACAUGUAUUUAAGAUUUUAUUAAUUUAUUCAAUAAAAAUACAUUUGUAUUCUGUGGCUAUAGUACUCUCAUCAUCAUAGAAUUACAUUGAUAUAAUAAAGCUAAUUUGACACAAUGGGGUGAAUGAAUAAAAAAAUUAUGGGUAGCUUUGCUGUCGGUGCUGCCUUUAUGAAGGGUCAAUAGUGUUUUGGCUUUUGAAAUUUGGCGCAUUUUAUGGUUAAUUGGUAUUUUUAUUAUUGGCACCAAAAUCAGUCCACCUAAAGUAUGUGCCAAAAAAUGUCAGGUGACAUUUUAAAAAUACCUUGAAGAGGAUCUUUUUGUUUGUCAUGAUUUUGAU